GAGCCUGAACACCUAUGGAAGCUCUUCAGCAGAGGACUGGGCUUUGAAACAACUGAUAAAAGCCUGAGGAGCCAUUUUAAACAAUGGGGAGCACUCAGAUUGUGUAGUAAUGAGAGAUCCAAACACCAAACAGUCCAGGGGCUUUCAGUUUGUCAUGUAUGCCACUGUGAAGACGGUGGAUACAACAUGAAUGCAAGGUCACACAAGGAGGAUGGAAGAAUUGUGGAGCCGAAGAAAGCUGUCCUAAGAU
rnacentral:lncRNA from 10 species